UAGGGAAUCUUCCGCAAUGGGCGAAAGCUUGACGGAGCAACGCCGCGUGAGUGAUGAAGGUCUUCGAAUCGUAAAACUCUGUUAUUAGGGAAGAACAAAUGUGUAAGUAACUAUGCACGUCUUGACGGUACCUAAUCAGAAAGCCACGGCUAACUACGUGCCAGCAGCCGCGGUAAUACGUAGGUGGCAAGCGUUAUCCGGAAUUAUUGGGCGUAAAGCGCGCGUAGGCGGUUUUUUAAGUCUGAUGUGAAAGCCCACGGCUCAACCGUGGAGGGUCAUUGGAAACUGGAAAACUUGAGUGCAGAAGAGGAAAGUGGAAUUCCAUGUGUAGCGGUGAAAUGCGCAGAGAUAUGGAGGAACACCAGUGGCGAAGGCGACUUUCUGGUCUGUAACUGACGCUGAUGUGCGAAAGCGUGGGGAUCAAACAGG
rnacentral:rRNA from 1 species